AGCGUAGGCGGUCUUUUAAGUGGGGUGUGAAAUCCCUGGGCUUAACCCAGGAAUUGCAUUCCAUACUGGGAGACUAGAGUGCAGGAGAGGAAAGUGGAAUUCCAAGUGUAGCGGUGAAAUGCGUAGAGAUUUGGAGGAACACCAGUGGCGAAGGCGACUUUCUGGACUGUAACUGACGCUGAGGCUCGAGAGCGUGGGGAGCAAACAGGAUUAGAUACCCUGGUAGUCCACGCUGUAAACGAUGAAUACUAGGUGUUGGGGGCGAAGCCCUCAGUGCCGCAGUUAACACAUUAAGUAUUCCGCCUGGGGAGUACGAUCGCAAGAUUAAA
rnacentral:rRNA from 1 species